GAUGAACGCUGGCGGCGUGCCUAAUACAUGCAAGUCGAACGAACAGACGCGGAUCUUGCUCCUCUGACGUUAGCGGCAGGCGGGUGAGUAACACGUGGAUAACCUACCUGUCAUACUGGUAUAAUUUCGGGAAACGGGAUCUAAUCCCGGAUAAUCUCUUGAACCACAUUGUUGAAUGGAAAAAUACGGUUUUGCUGUCACUUAUAGAUGGUUCCGCGCUGGAUUGGGUGGUUGGUAAGUUCAAGGCUUACCAAGGCUACGAUGCGUAGCCGAACUGAGAGGGUGAUCGGCCACCCUGGAGCUGAGACGCGGUCCAGACGCCUACGGGAGGCAGCAGUAGGGAAUCUGCCGCAAAGGGCGAAAGCCUGACGGAGCAACGCCGCGUGAGUGAUGAAGGUCUUCGGAUCGUAAAAAUCUGUUAUUAGGGAAGAACAAAUGUGUAAGUAACUAUGCACGUCUUGACGGUACCUAAUCAGAAAGCCACGGCUAACUACGUG
rnacentral:rRNA from 1 species